UGGGGAAUAUUGGACAAUGGGCGCAAGCCUGAUCCAGCCAUGCCGCGUGAGUGACGAAGGUCUUCGGAUUGUAAAGCUCUUUUUGGCGGGGACGAUAAUGACGGUACCCGCAGAAUAAGCCCCGGCUAACUUCGUGCCAGCAGCCGCGGUAAUACGUAGGGACCAAGCGUUGUUCGGAUUUACUGGGCGUAAAGGGCGCGUAGGCGGCAUGACAAGUCACUUGUGAAAUCUCUGGGCUUAACCCAGAACGGCCAAGUGAUACUGUCGCGCUAGAGUGCAGAAGGGGCAAUCGGAAUUCUUGGUGUAGCGGUGAAAUGCGUAGAUAUCAAGAGGAACACCUGAGGUGAAGACGGGUUGCUGGGCUGACACUGACGCUGAGGUGCGAAAGCGUGGGGAGCAAACAGGAUUAGAUACCCUAGUAGUCCCUGAGCGGGCUGGCAAGGCGCAU
rnacentral:rRNA from 1 species